AGUUAUUGAUCAUUAAAGUUGACUAUACGGCCUAUACAGUUACAGUAUGAACUGGUAGUUUUGAAUACUAAUAAAUCCUAAACUAUACAGUAAAAAUACACGAAUCUUUGUGUGGUGAUAGUACACUUCUAGUAGAACAAGGGGAAAGUGGUCUGAGCCUGGAACUAUGCACCAAAGUCAAGUUAUUAUUGAUCAAAGUUGACUGUAUUACAGUAUGACAUGGUAGUUUUGAAUACUAAUAAAUCCAAAACUAUACAGUAAAAAUACAAGAAUCUUUGUGUGGUGAUAGUACACCUCUAGUAGAACAAAGGGAAAGUGGUCUGGGCCUGGAACUAUGCACCAAAGUCAAGGUAUUGAUCAUUAAAUUUGACUAUACGGCCUAUACAGUUACAGUAUGACAUGGUAGUUUUGAAUACUAAUAAAUCCUAAACUAUACAGUAAAAAUACACAGAUCUUUGUGUGGUGAUAGUACACCUCUAGUAGAUCAGGGGGGAAGUGGUCUGAGCCUGGAACUAUGCACCAAAGUUAAGUUAUUAAUUAUAAAGGUUUUACAGUAUGACAUGGUAUUUUUAAAUACUAAUAAAUGCUUAAUUUUACAGUAAAAGUACACAGAUCUUUAUUGGGCGACAGUUUUUCUAUAUAUGCAAUAUUUUGUUUCGUAGUUUUAUAUAUUUUGAACAGACCGACGUCUCCCUAUGAAAAGAGGAAGUCGCGACGAGCGCGUUUUGUGCUCUGCUGUAAAGCGCGUAAUACGGGCGCAAGACGUUUUUGAAGCGCGGCUGGCUGAACGACGGCUCACUUGACCGCAGUCAAGAACUCUGUCGCCUCACAACGGCUCCUGAUUGGUGAUUACACGUCCUCUUUUAUCAUUACUUUUAGGGUAUUAUUGACUGGAGAUUCUCAGCCUUCGCCUUCUUCACCAUUAUCACUAAAGGAGGAGCACGAUCGGUUCAGGUUAUUUAUUGGUGCAGUACACAAAGUGUCCAGCAGAGUGCAGUUGAGUCUGUUUGACUGUUGAAUUGUACGGUUUAACAGCAGUGGGUAUAAAGGACCUGUGGUACCGCUCCUUCCUACACUGGGGGUGGAUCAGUCUGCCACUGAAGCAGCUGCUCAGAGCCUCCACUGUCUGAUGCAGUGAGAGACUUGUCCAUGAUGGACGUCAGCUUGGCCGACAUCCUCUCACCCUCCUCCCUAGAGUCCAGUGGACCGACCAGGACAGAGCAGACCUUCCUCACCAGCUUGUUCAGUCUUUCUCUGUCAUGGUCUGUGCUGCCAGUUGGCAUUUGUAUUGUGUGGCGAUUUGGAGAAAGCCUGUGAAUUAAACUGUCAGCAAAAUAAAGAAGUAUGCAAACACGUA